rnacentral:rRNA from 1 species
GAUGAACGCUGGCGGCGUGCCUAACACAUGCAAGUCGAACGGAAAGGCCCUGCUUUUGUGCGGUGCCCGAUUGGCGAACGGGUGAGGAACACGUGUGUAACCUGCCCUUGACUUUGGGAUAACUUCAGGAAACUGGGGCUAAUAUCGGAUAGGAGCUCCUGUUGCAUGGUGGGGGUUGGAAAGUUUCGGCGGUUGGGGAUGGACGGGGGGCUUAUCAGCUUGUUGGUGGGGUAGUGGCUUACCAAGGCUUUGACGGGUAGCCGGCAUGGGAGGGUGACCGGCGACAUUGGGACUGAGGUACGGCCCAGACUCCUACGGGAGACAGCAGUGGGGAAUAUUGCACAGUGGGCGGAAGCCUGAUGCGGCAACGCCGCGUGCGGGAUGACGGCCUUCGGGUUAUAAAACGCUUUCGCCUGUGACGCAGCGUGAGUGACGGUAAUGGGUAAAGAAGCACCGGCUAACUACGUG